CUUACCAUCCGGAAUCGCAGGGGGUGCUUGAGCAAUUCCAUCAGACUCUCAAGUCUAUGCUACGCGCAUACUGCCUUGAGUUUGAAAAGGACUGGGAUGAGGGUGUACAUUUAAUGCUUUUUGCUGUGCGGGAGGUUGUACAAGAAUCGCUAGGGUUCAGUCCUGCUGAAUUAGUUUUUGGUCACACUGUACCCGGCCCUCUGAAGCUGCUCAAGGAGAAGUGGCUGACAGAGGACAGUCACAUGAACCUGCUUGAUUUUGUAUGCAAUUUCCGUUUAAAAUUGCAUCGAGCAGGCGAGUUAGCGAGGGAAAAUCUAGAGUCCUCGCAAAAGAGGAUGAAAUGCUGGUUCGAUCGUGGUGCAGAGAUGCGAACUUUUUCGCCUGGCGAUAAAGUUAUGGUGCUCCUGCCCAUCCCGGGGUCUGCUUUGCAGGCGCGCUACAGCGGCCCGUACCUGAUUGAAUGUCGGGUGGGUGAUCGUGAUUACCUGAUAGCCACUCCUGACCGCAGGAAAAGGAGUCGCCUGUGUCACGUUAACAUGAUCAGGCCCUACUGGGAUCGUCAGCCUGGAGAGGAAGGUGAGGUAAAAGGUGUGGCCUUGUCGGGCAUUACCUUUACUCCUCCCGAACAGGAGGGGGGGGAUGUGCUUAUACCCCCGAAGAGUGUGACAGAAGGCAGGCUGCAGAAUUCUGAAUUUCUGCGCAGCCUUGAGGUGCAGCUGUCUCAUUUGUCUAGUGAUGAAAGUGCAGAGAUUGCGAGACUCAUUCGUUCGCACCUGACCCUGUUUUCUGAUGUGCCUACCCGUACUCACCUAUUAGAGCAUGACAUCGACGUGGGUGGGUUUUCUCCAAUAAAACAGCACCCAUAUCGCGUUAAUCCAGAAAAACAUUCACAGUUAAAGAAAAAGGUGGAUUAUAUGUUAAAGAAUGGCAUCGCUGAGCCCAGCUCGAGCGAUUGGAGUUCUCCCUGUCUGCUCGUUAACAAACCUGACGGCACUUUUUGUUUUUGCACCGACUACAGGAAGGUGAAUACAGUCACUAAACCUGACUGUUACCCUCUCCCUAGGAUGGAUGACUGUGUAGACCGGGUGGGUUCGGCUGCUUAUGUAAGCAAAUUUGAUUUGCUUAAGGGUUACUGGCAAGUCCCCCUGUCAAAACGCGCGAAGUAGAUUUCCGCUUUUGUUACACCAGACACUUUCUUGCAAUAUACGGUGAUGCCUUUCGGGAUGCGAAACGCUCCGGCUACUUUUCAGAGGUUGGUUAACCUCGUUGUGUCCGACCUGCCAGGUUGCGAGGCGUAUUUGGAUGACCUGGUAAUUUACAGUGCGACUUGGGCCGAACACAUUAAUCAGAUGGGAGAACUCUUUGAUCGUUUGUCUGCUGCUAAUUUAACCGUGAAUCUGGCAAAGUGCAAGUUUGGCCAAGCAACUGUCAUGUACUUGGGCAAAGUUGUGGGUCGGGGACAGGUACAUCCAGUUGACUCGAAGGUGGAGUCCGUGUUGGAAUUUCCGGCUCCCAAAACCCGCCGUGAGCUGCGGAGAUUCUUAGGAAUGGUGGGUUACUACCGCAGUUUUUGCAAAAACUUCUCUGCGGUUGUUUCGCCGUUAACGGACCUCCUCAGCCCUAAGACUUAUUUUACGUGGACUGAUAAAUGUCAACGGUCAUUUGAGAACGUGAAAGCCUUGUUGGUCAGCACACCUGUUCUCUCCGCACCCGAUUUUAUACGCCCUUUUAAAUUGCUGUGGAUGCAAGUGACUGUGGUGCUGGAGCCCUUCUCAUGCAGGAGGACACUCACAGUGUUGAUCAUCCCGUGUGCUACUUUUCGAGGAAGUUUAACUGACAUCAGCGGUUAUACUCCACGAUAGAGAAGGAGGCUUUGGCUCUGGUUCUUGCAUUACAGCACUUUGACAUUUAUGUAGGCUCCUCUUCACGCCCCGUCGUGGUGCAGACGGAUCACAACCCACUUGUCUUCCUUCACCGCAUGCAUAACAAUAACCAGCGCCUCAUGUGGUGGAGCUUAUUUUUGCAGUGUUAUGAUUUAGACAUUCGGCACAUCCAAGGGCGUGAUAACGUUGUUGCCGACGCAUUGUCCCGUAUGCACGAAUGUGACAAUAAAUAGAGAAUUAUUUAUUGUCUUAAGGGUGGGGGUGUUACAUCCCUGUGUAUUAUUUAGAACAUUAUUAUUAUUAAGGGAUGUUACUUUUCUGUGUUUUUGGCUGGGUAUUGCUGGUUGUUUGUGUUCCCCUAUACAGGUGGUGAUAAACAUGUAUCCUGUUGCCGGGUGACCUGACUAGGAGGAUGCGCGGUGACGAGGAUGCCGGUGUCGUCGCUCGGAGACAGGACCAGAUGCGGCCGUAGCUAAGAACAACGGUUAGAAGAUGCGGGUCUAUAUAACAGCUGGACGCCGUCAUCACAAGAGAGCCAUCUUUUCGUCUGCUACUGGAAGCCAUGCUUGACUUCGCUCUGCUCCGAGAGUUCUAUUCCAACAUUAACAGUUUUUAAUAGUAGCCCAGUAUUAGAUUAGUCGCGCUGUAUCCGGCAGUACAGUACUUGACCAGCAGAGGACGCUAACAUCACGUAAUCCCUGCGAUUGGACCUGGUGGAGAGGACCGGCCUCACGGAGGACUUGGACCGCUGUACUGGCUGCCCGAUACCACAGAAUCAGGCAGCAAGCACGACGAGAGGUGAAUAUCAACAACUGACAGCAUAUCAUAAUGUUCAAUGUGUUGUCAUUGGAAAUCCACUUGCAAAUAAGCGUUUCAAUGUUCUGUCUAUGUAGCUCCCUCCAGUAAUCAUGAGCACAAGGGUUCUUUAAUUCAACUGGCAGUUUAUUACGAUUGCACCAAUCAUGGAUUCAUCCAGAAUCACCAUCCCGUGAGAACUUAAAGAAAAUAAAACACAAAAUACAUAAA